GCCCCAUCCCCCCAGCCCCCACCCUCGGCUGCUGCCCGAGCUUCCUCCACACGCCGUGCAGUCUCCACGGCGACGCGGCGUCCCAGACUCGGAGCCCAGAGCCCAGCGCGAGCAGCUAGCCGGGCUGGCUCUCGGUGUCUGCCCUUCGGAUGGUCGGCUGGAGAAAGCCGCCAGCUGGACUUCUGUAGACAAGACAGAUACUGUAAAGAAAAAGUGACGAUUGAAUCAAAUGAAGCAAUGUCAGAUAAAUGUCUCUCUGGACACAGACCAAGAUUGACAAGCAAACUUAAUACCCCACCAACACAGAUCUCUCUAAAUGUAGCUAAGACAUUCUCAGAAAAGUAAGUUUUAAUUAAUUUUGUUUUUAGGCCCAUGUUUGACA
rnacentral:lncRNA from 1 species